CAGACUGCAAGAGGACCUCGGUGAGCCUUGUCCCUUCUUCUCCAUAUUCUCUCUGGAGGAUGUCAUGGAAACUGCAUCUCCUGACGUCAUGCUGGACCUGUUUCUGGACCCCCUGUCCAUCUCCAGGUUUGUGUCCAACGUCACCCCAGCUCCCGACCAGUUCUACUUCCCCUCAGCGCUCAGCUUCUCCACUGCUUGCUUGAUGGAGACAGGACUGGUGCACUGCAAGUUUCUCGGGCUACAGAAGAAGGUAG